ACUCCAUGGUGUGGACAUUUUCGUUGCAGAUCCUUAAAUCUUUCCCAAGCAUCAUAAAGUGUUUCAUUAUCACGUUGCUUGAAGGUAGUGAUGUCAGUUCUCAGCUU
rfam:Corchorus olitorius cultivar O-4 contig17361, whole genome shotgun sequence.